rnacentral:rRNA from 1 species
UGCCAGCAGCCGCGGUAAUACGUAGGUGGCAAGCGUUGUCCGGAAUUAUUGUGCGUAAAGGGCUCGCAGGCGGUGUCUUAAGUCUGAUGUGAAAGCCCCCGGCUCAACCGUGGAGGGUCAUUGGAAACUGGUGAACUUGAGUGCAGAAGAGGAGAGUGGAAUUCCACGUGUAGCGGUGAAAUGCGUAGAGAUGUGGAGGAACACCAGUGGCGAAGGCGACUCUCUGGUCUGUAACUGACGCUGAGGAGCGAAAGCGUGGGGAGCGAACAGGAUUAGAUACCCUGGUAGUCCACGCCGUAAACGAUGAGUGCUAAGUGUUAGGGGGUUUCCGCCCCUUAGUGCGGCAGCUAACGCAUUAAGCACUCCGCCUGGGGAGUACGGUCGCAAGACUGAAACUCAAAGGAAUUGACGGG